GGCUCAGUGGUUAAGAGCACUGGCUGUUCUUCCAGGGGACCUGGGUUCAAUUCCCAG
rnacentral:tRNA from 1 species